rnacentral:rRNA from 1 species
GAUGAACGCUGGCGGCGUGCCUAAUACAUGCAAGUCGAGCGAACGGACGAGAAGCUUGCUUCUCCGAUGUUAGCGGCGGACGGGUGAGUAACACGUGGAUAACCUACCUAUAAGACUGGGAUAACUUCGGGAAACCGGAGCUAAUACCGGAUAAUAUUUUGAACCGCAUGGUUCAAAAGUGAAAGACGGUCUUGCUGUCACUUAUAGAUGGAUCCGCGCUGCAUUAGCUAGUUGGUAAGGUAACGGCUUACCAAGGCAACGAUGCAUAGCCGACCUGAGAGGGUGAUCGGCCACACUGGAACUGAGACACGGUCCAGACUCCUACGGGAGGCAGCAGUAGGGAAUCUUCCGCAAUAGGCGAAAGCCUGACGGAGCAACGCCGCGUGAGUGAUGAAGGUCUUCGGAUCGUAAAACUCUGUUAUUAGGGAAGAACAUAUGUGUAAGUAACUGUGCACAUCUUGACGGUACCUAAUCAGAAAGCCACGGCUAACUACGUG